GAAGCUGGCUAGACAGUCGCCGCUCACGUAGGUGAGGGGAGGAAAGUCCGGGCUGCAUAGAGCGGGAUGACGGCUAACGGCCGUACGUUGAAAGCUUGGGUAACUGAGUAUAAGGCGCGGAAUAGGGCCACAGAGACGAGCGUAUUUAGUUACGGUGAAACGCGGUAACCUCCAUUCGCAGCAAGACCAAAUAGGCUAGCACUUUACUCUGAGGUUAAUCCUUGGUGUAAUAAGGCGUGGUUCGCGCUGCUAGCGGGUAGGUUGCUUGAGCGUGCAAGUAAUUGUACGCCUAGAUGAAUGACUGUCGUGCGUUGCAAGACGCAAACAGAACCCGGCUUAUCGGCCAGCUUCAAUC
rnacentral:RNase_P_RNA from 1 species